GACGAACGCUGGCGGCGUGCUUAACACAUGCAAGUCGAACGGAAAGGCCCUGCUUUUGUGGGGUGCUCGAGUGGCGAACGGGUGAGUAACACGUGAGUAACCUGCCCUUGACUUUGGGAUAACUUCAGGAAACUGGGGCUAAUACCGGAUAGGAGCUCCUGCUGCAUGGUGGGGGUUGGAAAGUUUCGGCGGUUGGGGAUGGACUCGCGGCUUAUCAGCUUGUUGGUGGGGUAGUGGCUUACCAAGGCUUUGACGGGUAGCCGGCCUGAGAGGGUGACCGGCCACAUGGGGACUGAGAUGCGGCCCAGGCGCCUACGGGAGGCAGCAGUGGGGAAUAUUGCACAAUGGGCGGAGGCCUGAUGCAGAAACGCCGCGUGCGGGAUGACGGCCUUCGGGUUGUAAACCGCUUUCGCCUGUGACGAAGCGUGAGUGACGGUAAUGGGUAAAGAAGCACCGGCUAACUACGU
rnacentral:rRNA from 1 species